AUGCGCAAACACGAAUGUUAUGAAUUUCGUUUUGGGGUCAAUGGAGUUGGCGCUGGUUGCCGUUACUGGCCUUUUGCGACGUCUUGAUAUCAGUUUACAAUAAUAGCUCUGGACUCUAGGGAAUCCAAACUCAUAUUCGAGUCAACCUGCAGAAAGGUCUGCCAGUUUGUCCAGACAGGAUGUCCUUCUCGCUUGAAGGUCACGAGAAAAUUACGUAAAACUGGCAUGCGGUGGUGAAGAGGAUGGGUGAGAAUGACACGUGUUUCAUCAUUAUCAAAGCAGACCCAUCCCCAGCAACGUCUACCUAAAGAAGGAAAGGCCAGUUUGCAUUUCAAUCGAAGGUCAUGGAGAUAAAAAAAAAACGUUUCAUGCAGUGGUGUAGAGGUUGGGUGAGAACGGGACGUUUUGCAUCAUUAUCAAGAAGGUAAAAUAACCGCAAGGCUUAAGAGGAGGGGUGAGAAAAAGUCGUAUAAAAGGCGAGAGAAAAGUCGACAUGGAUCAGUCGAGCGAGUAUCUUCGACAAGGGAACAGCUGUAGUGUACUAUUUGCCGUCAGCUGCAUUCUUCAUCGUACUAUCAGUUCUCAACCAUGGUCGUACAUAAGGGCAAGGAUUAGGCGAAAGAAAUCAGUCGAGUGAGCAUCUCCGGUACGGUAACAGCAACUGCAGUGCACCAUUUGUCACCAACUGCAUUCUUCGUCGAAUUGCUAGUCAAAUCAUGGCAAACUAUGGCGUCGUGCUGCAGUUGUGUGUUGCAUCGUUGAUGGCUGGGUCGGCCACUGGUGUACCGAUGUCUCCUGGGUAUGGCGGCUAACAAAUCGAAACGCCGCCACCUUACUACACAAGAUACGGCUCGACCAGUUGCUACACCGAGGCCCCCAAGUACUGCACCAAGGCUCCAGAUUAUUAUCCUACUACUUAUGCUGCCCUGAGCUACUACACCGAAUCCCCACAGUAUUAUUCUUCCCCGAGCUACAAUACCAAAGGGUCGAUUACUACACCGAUGCUCCGAAGUACUACACCACCAAGACACCGGAGUACUGCACAACUACAUAUCAUGGAGAAAAGGCGAAAGAAAACCGUCGAGUGGUCAUCUCCGACACGGCAACAGUAACUGCAGUGCCAAGGCUCAGUAUUACACCACAAAUUAUGUUGCCCCGAGACUCUACCCCAAAGCGCCUGAGUGCUAUACCGAGGGCACUAAUUUCUACACCACCAAGGCACCGGAGUACUACACUGCAACAUACCCUGCUCCAGAUUAUUACAACGAGGCUCCCCAACACUACACCACCAAGGCACUGCAGUACUACACCACUACAUAUCAUGAGGAAAGGUGAAAGAAUUCAGCAGCCGAGUGAGCAUCUCCGUUACAGCAACAGGAACUACCGUGCACUAUUUGUCAUCAACUUCAUCCUUCGUCGCAUUACAAGUUUUAAAUAAAGUAAACUUUGGCGUCGUGCUGCUGUUGGGCGUUAUAUCGUUGAUGGAUGGAUCGACCACUGGUGUGCUGAUUUCUCCUGGGUAUGGCGGGCGUGAAUAAUCCGUAGCAACCGGUUACUACACUGGGGCCUCCAAAUACUACACCUCCAAGGCUCCAGAGUAUUACACCACAACUUAUGCUGCCCCAAUGUUACUACGCAGAUGCUCCGAAGUAUUUUUCUUCCUCGAGCUUCACUACCUUCACCACGCCGCUUACUAAUUAACAACGUCAACACCUACUUACUAUAUGAAGGUCUCCAGUACUACGCCACAAAAGCUCCUGACUACUACACCGAGGACCUAACUUGUCACACCACUGAAGCGCCCAAGUAUUGCGCUACAACCUACGUUUCUCCAGCUUACACCACGAUGGCAGCGGAGUACUACACCACGAUGGCAGCGGAGUACAACACCACAAGCUGCUUCCGCAACUUGCUACAUGGAGGUUCCUAAAUGAUAGAGCUGAAAUUUUCAUUUGAUUUUAUUUCCAUUUGUCGGUUGUCUUCACAUUGGUCACUGAGUGAAUUGUUGAAUUUAAAUGAGAAAAUAUAAAUUCUAACGCGGGUAAUUCUUUUGUAAGACUGUUGGUAGUAACUUCAAGCCUGUCGUCAUUUGACAGGUGUCUAUUGGUGUUUCUGCAAGGCCAGUGUUUCUUCACUUCUUCAAGGCCAGUAUCCUGCGCUGUGACAUGUCUGUUUCAUAUUUUGGAGGUGACUAUUGCCUUUAUCUGCAUUCGGACAUGUUCUUGUGUUUUGACGAUGUUACAAGGGUAGGUUACGAAAGGAGGUUGCAACUGUUGAUUUGGGUAAGUCUUAUAAGUAAAAGGCAAGUGGAUGAAUUUUGUAUAAAUGAAAGAAUUUGAAGUUGAGAAAAAUAUAUUGGAACAAUUCCUAAA